rnacentral:rRNA from 1 species
AACGAACGCUGGCGGCAUGCCUAACACAUGCAAGUCGAACGAGACCUUCGGGUUUAGUGGCGCUCGGGUGCGUAACGCGUGGGAACUUGCACUUAGGUUAGGAAUCAUUCCCUGUAAGGGGUGUUCAUACAGGUUAAUGUCAUCGGAGAAAAGAUUUCCCGCUUCGGGAUGGGCGCGCGUAGGAUUAGCGGGUUGGUAGUGUAAAAGCAUACCAUGGCGACGUUCCAUAGCUGGUCGGAUAGGAGGAUCAGCCCGACUGGGACUGAGGCACGGCCCCGACUGCGACGGAAGACAGCAGUAUGUAGUAUUGGGCAAGGAGGCAAAGCCUGAUCCAGCAGUGCCGCGGGAGUGAGGAAGGCCUUAGGAUUGUAAAUCUCUUUGUCCCGAGAUGAGAAUGACGGUACCGGGUGAAGAAGCACCGGCUAACUCCGUG